rnacentral:ncRNA from 2 species
AUAUGCAAAGUUCUCCGAGCCAUAACGCCUAAAACAAUUGUCAUGGUAUUAUGGCCGUUUAGGGUUAAUCGGGAAACUGGUUAGCCUCCCCUUUGGAAAGGAGAGCAUUAUGCCGCCUG